UCUCCAACAAUCCAAUCCUAGUUGGCUCUCUAGGUUUUCUCUUUCAUUCAGGGGAUGAUUUUGGGUCAAUAUUACCCGAAAUCACCCAUCAUCAUCAUCUUCUUUUUCUCCUUACUUUAAUCUAAGCAAUUGAUUUUCAAAUAGAUUUAGGUUUUUUCUUCUUUGUCAUUUCGUUUAUUGUGUAGCGUUGUUUGAUUUAUCAUCUUGUUGCGGUGUUCGUUUGUUUUUUUAUUAAAAGACCGACCAUCUUAUUACGAUGUUUGUUUGGUUUCCUAUUAAAAGAGAGACUUUAGACAAUUACAUAUUCAAUCAAUUAUUUGGGCAUCAACAUUGCAGAUUUGGAGGCAUGAUAUUCUGAUUACUUUGAUUUUAUCAUAUUAUUUGCGAUCUGUUAUCGUUGUAUGUUUGAGUUAUGUGAGUUUAUUUGCACAUUCAUCAUUUUUCGUUUUUAGCUAUAUUAGACAUGUUGUAUUUAAUGAACUCUAUCAACUUGAAUGAAUGAAUAUUGUUUUGUUUUUGUAAUA
rnacentral:lncRNA from 1 species